rnacentral:tRNA from 1 species
GCAUCGGUAGUUCAGUGGUAAAAUACUCGCCUGCAACGCGGGUUCGAUUCCCGGCCGAUGCA